rnacentral:lncRNA from 1 species
CCCCGACAGGAUCAUACAGGUUCUCUCUUCCUGAUUCUACUCAAACAGAUGGGGGCAUACUGGGCCUGAGCAGAAGAAGAAGUUAUCUAAGGGCCCACGCGUGCGGCAUGAUGAGAUAUCCCUGAUUAAGAAAUGUAGCCUGGCUGUAAUGCCUCCUGGAAGACUAAGUCAAUCGAAACGUUGGUUUUAGUUUACAGUUGUUGCAGAUGCAAAGACCGCAUGUACUCUGGCUCCUGUAGAAACUCCAGGAACAUUAAGUAAGACCAAAGUCUCACACCUUAAAUGCAGCAACGCUUGCAGUUUCAGACUCUCAGUGAAGUGUCUGCGUCCUGAGCAGUGACCCAGCACCUACACACCCCUCUGCAGCGAUGUCCACCCACAGUUGAGGGGUUCAUGUAGCACAGCUGUGCUACAAGCUUCUUCUGCAAGCUUCAGAGCAAACCUAAGUGUUUAGGGGCCUACAGGACCAAGACUCAUUCCACAGAAACUGAGAAGGUGUGGGUGCAAGGUACUGAGUCAUUUACAAAAGGUUUAUUUUGCAUGCAAGAUGAGAACCAGAAUGCGAAAACAGAAUUGGAAACUGUCACACAAGAGAAAGAAGACAAUUUGUGUCUAGGUGAUGUAUUUCUUGCUCCUAAUGGCCAUUGCCAUAGUGAGGGCGGUGGAUUCCUGACAGGGAGAAAAAAGGAAAAGAUUGCAGAGCUGUGGGAUAGCUGCACCUACCCAGAAUGGAGCAGAAGAGGGGUGGGGUGAGCACGAAGCUUGGUGCGCACAAGAAUGUGGUCCACUCUCCAAACAUGUGCAGGCAGCUCCCCAAGCGCAAUGCAGGCCCCACCACCGUGCGUUUCCUUGUACGAUAGACACCAAACGUCAACCACGCCUACUUAUGAGUAUGAAGUGUUUUCGCCUGGGCACGGUGGCUCACGCCUGUAAUCCCAGCACUUUGGGAGGCCGAGGCGGGUGGAUCACGAGCUCAGGAGAUCGAGACCAUGGUGAAACCCCGUCUCUACUAAAAAUACAAAAAAUUAGCCGGGCGUGGUGGCGGGCGCCUGUAGUCCCAGCUACUCGGGAGGCUGAGGCAGGAGAAUGGCGUGAACCUGGAAGGCGGAGCUUGAAGUGAGCUGAGAUCGCGCCACUGCACUCCAGCCUGGGCGACAGAGCGAGACUCCGUCUCAAAAAUAAAUAAAUAAAUAAAUAAAAAAUAAAGUAAAAUAAAAUGUUUUCAUGUUUCUUAGGAAUUAGAUUCAUUUGAGAGUCAUUAUUUUAAGGUGAACCUGUCCAUUUGGGCAGCUGAUUUUUAAUCAACAUUUGUAUGGUUGUAUUCAUGGAUAUACACCGAAGGAAAAGGGCAUUGUCACUGAUCAUUUACAUAGAUCUACUGUUUUUUUAUUAUCAGCCCAUUGGGACAAUCUAAAAUGUUGGCCAAUUCCC